rnacentral:rRNA from 1 species
UACGGGGGGGGCAAGCGUUGUUCGGAAUUACUGGGCGUAAAGGGCUCGUAGGUGGCCAACUAAGUCGGACGUGAAAUCCCCUCAGCUUAACUGGGGAACUGCGUCCGAUACUGGAUGGCUCGAGUUUGGGAGAGGGAUGCGGAAUUCCAGGUGUAGCGGUGAAAUGCGUAGAUAUCUGGAGGAACACCGGUGGCGAAGGCGGCAUCCUGGACCAAUUCUGACGCUGAUGAGCGAAAGCCAGGGGAGCAAACGGG